rnacentral:rRNA from 1 species
AGCCACGGCUAACUCCGUGCCAGCAGCCGCGGUAAUACGGAGGUGGCAAGCGUUACUCGGAAUUAUUGGGUGUAAAGGGCAAGUAGGCGGUCUAUUAAGUGAGGGGUGAAAUCUUCCGACUCAAUCGGAAAACUGCCUUUCAAACUAAUAGACUUGAGAUUGGAAGAGGGAAACGGAAUUAGCAGUGUAAGGGUGAAAUCUGUAGAUAUUGCUAAGAACACCAGCGGCGAAGGCGGUUUCCUGGUCCAAUACUGACGCUAAAUUGCGAAAGCUAGGGUAGCAAACAGAAUUAGAUACUCUGGUAGUCCUAGCUGUAAACGAUGAGUACUAGGUGUCGGCCCUUAGGGGGCGGUGCCGCAGCUAACGCAUUAAGUACUCCACCUGGGGACUACGGCCGCAAGGCUAAAACUCAAAGGAAUUGACGGGGACCCGCACAAGCGGUGGAACAUGUGGUUUAAUUCGAUGCAACGCGAAGAACCUUACCUGGACUUGACAUGUUAGUGUAAGUCCCGUGAAAGCGGGACCCUCUGCGAGCUUGCUCAAAGACACUAUCACAGGUGAUGCAUGGCUGUCGUCAGCUCGUGUCGUGAGAUGUUGGGUUAAGUCCCGCAACGAGCGCAACCCCUAUCCUUAGUUGCCAGCACGUUAUGGUGGGGACUCUAAGGAGACUGCCCGGGAUAACCGGGAGGAAGGUGGGGAUGAUGUCAAGUCAGUAUGUCCCUUAUGUCCAGGGCUACACACGUGUUACAAUGGCUGGUACAAUGGGUUGCCAACCCGCAAGGGGGAGCCAAUCCCAAAAAACCAGCCCCAGUUCAGAUUGGAGUCUGCAACUCGACUUCAUGAAGUCGGAAUCGCUAGUAAUCGCGCAUCAGCACGGCGCGGUGAAUACGUUCCCGGGUCUUGUACACACCGCCCGUCACGCCAUGGAAGUCAGCAGUACCCAAAGAUGGUGAACCAACCCUUCGGGGAGGUAGCUAUUUAAGGUAAGGCUGGUAACUAGGGCGAAGUCGUAACAAGGUAGCCGUACCGGAAGGUGCGGCUG